rnacentral:rRNA from 1 species
AUUGAACGCUGGCGGAAUGCUUUACACAUGCAAGUCGAACGGCAGCACGGGGGCAACCCUGGUGGCGAGUGGCGAACGGGUGAGUAAUACAUCGGAACGUGCCCAGUCGUGGGGGAUAACUACGCGAAAGCGUAGCUAAUACCGCAUACGAUCUACGGAUGAAAGCGGGGGAUCGCAAGACCUCGCGCGAUUGGAGCGGCCGAUGGCAGAUUAGGUAGUUGGUGGGGUAAAGGCUCACCAAGCCUGCGAUCUGUAGCUGGUCUGAGAGGACGACCAGCCACACUGGGACUGAGACACGGCCCAGACUCCUACGGGAGGCAGCAGUGGGGAAUUUUGGACAAUGGGCGCAAGCCUGAUCCAGCCAUUCCGCGUGCAGGAUGAAGGCCCUCGGGUUGUAAACUGCUUUUGUACGGAACGAAAAGCCUUCUUCUAAUACAAGAGGGUCAUGACGGUACCGUAAGAAUAAGCAC